CACAAAAAUUUACACAUCUGGCGCCUCAAUGGGACAUCUGGAAGAGUAGACUUUGCCUAGAGUGAAAAAAUGAAGAUUCACCUGCAAGGUGGGAAAGAAUUCACCGUAUAGGUGGGGAGAUAUUUCACCACAUGCAA